rnacentral:lncRNA from 1 species
CGAAAGAUUCUAUUAAUCAAGAUUUCUAAGCUGAAUUUUUUCUGGACCAUCAAUUGGUUUAGUCAGGAUAUUUAUAACAACUCAAAUAAGUUUCACUAAAAAAUAUUUCGUUGUUUUUAUUGAACUUUUCUCUUGUAUCAACAACUAUUACCCAUUAAUACAAUACCAACAUUUUUUGAUUCCAAAAUCAAAGAAUGCUUAUAGUACCU